rnacentral:rRNA from 1 species
UACGUAGGUGGCAAGCGUUAUCCGGAAUUAUUGGGCGUAAAGCGCGCGCAGGUGGUUUCUUAAGUCUGAUGUGAAAGCCCACGGCUCAACCGUGGAGGGUCAUUGGAAACUGGGGAACUUGAGUGCAGAAGAGGAAAGUGGAAUUCCAAGUGUAGCGGUGAAAUGCGUAGAGAUUUGGAGGAACACCAGUGGCGAAGGCGACUUUCUGGUCUGUAACUGACACUGAGGCGCGAAAGCGUGGGGAGCAAAUAGG